GGAAUAUUGCACAAUGGGGGAAACCCUGAUGCAGCGACGCCGCGUGAGUGAAGAAGUAUUUCGGUAUGUAAAGCUCUAUCAGCAGGAACGAGACAAGACGGUACCUGACUAAGAAGCCCCGGCUAACUACGUGCCAGCAGCCGCGGUAAUACGUAGGGGGCAAGCGUUAUCCGGAAUCACUGGGUGUAAAGGGAGCGUAGACGGCUGAGCAAGCCUGAAGUGAAAGGCGGGGGCCCAACCCCUGGACUGCUUUGGAAACUGUGCAGCUAGAGUGCAGGAGAGGUAAGUGGAAUUCCUAGUGUAGCGGUGAAAUGCGUAGAUAUUAGGAGGAACACCAGUGGCGAAGGCGGCUUACUGGACUGUAACUGACGUUGAGGCUCGAAAGCGUGGGGAGCAAACAG
rnacentral:rRNA from 1 species